rnacentral:rRNA from 1 species
CUAACAAGGAUUCCCUUAGUAACGGCGAGUGAACAGGGAUUAGCCCAGCACCGAAGCCUGUGGCCAUUUGGUUACUAGGCAAUGUGGUGUUUAGGUCGUUCCGCAGAGGCACUGCUCCACUCCAAGUCCAGCAAUGAGUACGGUAGUACAGACUUGGCCCAUAGAGGGUGAAAGGCCCGUGGGGGUGGAGAUUCAGGCAGGUUAGUGUCUCUCUGGAUAGACCUUGGAGUCGGGUUGUUUGUGAAUGCAGCCCAAAGCGGGUGGUAAACUCCAUCCAAGGCUAAAUACUAGCACGAGUCCGAUAGCGAACAAGUACCGUGAGGGAAAGUUGAAAAGUACUUUGAAGAGAGAGUAAACAGUGCGUGAAACCGCUCAGAGGUAAACGGGUGGAGUUGAACUGCAAGCCUUGAGAAUUCAGCUGGUGAGUGUGGUUUGAGCUUGGUCAAAUUGGUUGUACUCUGGGGUCUGCGUAGUAGCAGGUCUCUGCCUUCGGGUGGGGAUGUACGAAUCGCUUAUCAAGCGUUGUGCGCUUCAGUUGUAUUCGGGCCUGCUUGCCAGUGCACUUUCUCUUGGUGUUCACCACGACCGGCACUGCUGUCUGACUGUUGUGGUUAAACCGGUCUUGCAUUGUCCUUGUGGCUUUCUUUGGUCGGGACGGCAGGUAGCUCGUUGGCUAGUCUGGGGUAACCUGGGCAAUUGGUCUUCGGGUGUAAUCAGCUGACCAUGAUGGUUCUGUGCAGUGUGUCGGAGACGGCGGCUUGUUGUGUGAGCGCGCGUGCCUUGUCUUCUGACUUGUUUGGGUUUGAUUGCUAUGUUGCUUGUUCUGCAGGCCUAGUGAUAUCCUGAGCAUGUUUGGUUGGCGGUGGCGUGUGUGACACUAAUACAGGGCCAAUAGUCUGUGGUGUAGUGGUAGAC